UACGGAGGAUCCAAGCGUUAUCCGGAAUCAUUGGGUUUAAAGGGUCCGUAGGCGGUUUAAUAAGUCAGUGGUGAAAGCCCAUCGCUCAACGGUGGAACGGCCAUUGAUACUGUUAGACUUGAAUUAUUAGGAAGUAACUAGAAUAUGUAGUGUAGCGGUGAAAUGCUUAGAGAUUACAUGGAAUACCAAUUGCGAAGGCAGGU
rnacentral:rRNA from 1 species